GACGAACGCUGGCGGCGUGCCUAAUACAUGCAAGUAGAACGCUGAAGGAGGAGCUUGCUCUUCUGGAUGAGUUGCGAACGGGUGAGUAACGCGUAGGUAACCUGCCUGGUAGCGGGGGAUAACUUUUGGAAACGAUAGCUAAUACCGCAUAACAGUAGAUGUUGCAUGACAUUUACUUAAAAGGUGCAAUUGCAUCACUACCAGAUGGACCUGCGUUGGAUUAGCUAGUUGGUGGGGUAACGGCUCACCAAGGCGACGGUACAUAGUCGACCUGAGAGGGUGAGCGGCCACACUGAGACUGAGACACGGCCCAGACUCCUACGGGAGGCAGCAGUAGGGAGUCUUCGGCGAUGGACGGAAGUCUGACCGAGCAACGCCGCGUGAGUGAGGAAGGUUGUCGGAUCGUAAAGCUCUGUUGUAAGAGAAGAACGAGUGUGAGAGUGGAAAGUUCACACUGUGACGGUAGCUUACCAGAAAGGGACGGCUAACUACGUG
rnacentral:rRNA from 1 species